rnacentral:rRNA from 1 species
CCUACGGGUGGCAGCAGUGAGGAAUAUUGGUCAAUGGGCGGAAGCCUGAACCAGCCAAGUCGCGUGAGGGAAUAAGGCCCUACGGGUCGUAAACCUCUUUUGCCGGGGAGCAAGGGCGGGGACGUGUCCCGGCCCGGAGAGUACCCGGAGAAAAAGCAUCGGCUAACUCCGUGCCAGCAGCCGCGGUAAUACGGAGGAUGCGAGCGUUAUCCGGAUUUAUUGGGUUUAAAGGGUGCGUAGGCGGAAUGCCAAGUCAGCGGUAAAAUCGCGGGGCUCAACCUCGCUCCGCCGUUGAAACUGGCGUUCUUGAGUGGGCGAGAAGUAUGCGGAAUGCGUGGUGUAGCGGUGAAAUGCAUAGAUAUCACGCAGAACUCCGAUUGCGAAGGCAGCAUACCGGCGCCCAACUGACGCUGAAGCACGAAAGCGUGGGUAUCGAACAGGAUUAGAUACCCUUGUAGUC